rnacentral:rRNA from 1 species
UACAGAGGAUGCAAGCGUUAUCCGGAAUGAUUGGGCGUAAAGCGUCUUAAGGUGGCUUUUGAAGUCCUCCGUCAAAUCCCCGGGCUCAACCUUGGACAGGCGUUGGAAACUCCUAAGCUGGAGUACGGUAGGGGCAGAGGGAAUUUCCGGUGGAGCGAUGAAAUGCGUAGAGAUCGGAAAGAACACCAACGGCGAAAGCGCUCUGCUGGGCCGACACUGACACUGAUAGACGAAAGCUAGGGGAGCGAAU